AUGCCACCACACCCUGCUAAUUUUUGUAUUUUUAGUAGAAAUGGGGUUUCACCAUAUUGACCAGGCUGGUCUCAAACUCCUGACCUUGUGAUCUGCCCACCUCAGCCUCCCAAAAGAAAGCUUCUAGAACAGCAUGUGGACAGGAGAUAUUGAUGUUGUGGAUUGUAACUCUGCUCUGGGAUCCAGGCUGAAGGAGCAGUCUCUAUCUGGUCUCCAGACAGAAGAAAAAGAGACAAUGAAGUGUCCUCAACCUUGGCAAAGUAAACCUCUACAUGGAUUGAGAUCUGUCUCAGACACAUUUUGGUUUCCAUGACUUCUGAAUGGCAGCAUGAGGAGCUCCAUGAACCGUCUCCCCAGUGAAAUGACCAUAACCACUGGAAAUUACUUAAGAUCAAAGCCACAACCAUUUAAAGCCUUUGGAAAUUGUUUUAAGGGGACAUGGCAAAUUAAUACAUUUUUAUUCAAGAAAAUGUGCAAAGUCUCAGUAAGAACAGUGAGAGUCAAUAACCUUUGUACCACAAAGGACUUCCUCCCUCCUCCUCCUCCUAGCUCAGCAUUAUGGAAAAGUUACUCUAAGUAGGUGAAGCCAAGAACACAGGCUACCUCUUCCCCCAGCUCUCAGUUGAGGACUACUAUAUAUCCCUGGGAGGGACAGGCUGCCAGCAUUUCUCAUGCCCUCCAGUUUCAUGCUGCAAAAGCUCUCCUUUGGACAAGACUGGCUGAUAAAUCUGGGGCUCACUUCCUAAACCUGCCCCCACUCAUAUGGCAGAAACUCCACCUCGGCCAUGGCAGGCUAAGCAUACUGGAGCCUGUGUUACCCUGGCCUCAGCUUGCUCAUGGGGCAGAGAUUCUUUACAGGAAAGGCAAGCCCAGAAGAACAAAAGCCACCGCUCUGUCCAGCACUCUGCUCAUAAAGCAGGAUUGUCAUCCUGAGAUAAGGGGGCCACUGUCUCUGCCUGAGUUCCCCACGCUCCAGAGCAGUGGCGCAGAGGUUUUGCCCAAGGAGAGAGGCAGGCCAUAGAUACAGAGACCUCUGAAGUUCUUCCCAAGAGAACACUUUAUGUGGAACACAAUGUGGGAAAGUUCAAGUGUAAGGGUGUUCUCAAAAACAAUGAAGAUUUUGUUGGUAAGCAAUUAAGAGGAGCCUGGGAACUCCAUUCAAACAACAAGCUGAACUGUAGACCAGCUAGAAGUGUCCUGGAGAGAACCAGGGAAAGCAUCAGCUAAGAAGAGCCCUCCUGGUGUUAGCAUAAGCCUCAAACACCUACCUGAAAGAUUACCCUUGCAAAGGGGCUCAAAUUUAACAUACAAGACAGGAGCAAUUCAUGCCUCCAGGGGAUUGUCAAACACAAAAGAACAAUCAGCCAGCAGUUGAUGGAGGCUUAACAGCUGGAUGUGAUACCGUAGCAGGCUGACAGCUUAAUAAAGAGAUAAGUUAAGAAUGACAUCAGGAAGAGGAAUGCAUGGUGACUAAGAAGAAGUCAUCGUUAGCCAGUCACCUGUCAGAUAUUCUGUAUGUGCCAGGUACUGUUUGAUGCACUUUGCAUCUGUGAACUCAUCUGCCACUCAAAGGACCCCAUGAGACAAGCACUUCACUGUCUUCUGCAUUUUACAGAAGAAAGUGGGGAACAGAGACGUGCUGUACCUGCCCAAAGUCACAAGACUAGGAAGGAUGGAACCAGGAUCCAAGCCCCAGCGGCAGAGCUUCCAAAUCCCAUUUCUCUGAACCAUCCCCCAUGGACGCAGAAUAACAAAAAUGACAAACUGAGUGAAUUGCUGAUUUUCCCUGAAGAGAAUAAAUA